rnacentral:rRNA from 1 species
UACGUAGGGGGCAAGCGUUGUCCGGAUUUAUUGGGCGUAAAGAGCGUGUAGGCGGCCAGGUAGGUCAGCUGUGAAAACUCGAGGCUCAACCUCGAGACGCCGGUUGAAACCAUCUGGCUAGAGUCCGGAAGAGGAGAGUGGAAUUCCUGGUGUAGCGGUGAAAUGCGCAGAUAUCAGGAAGAACACCCGUGGCGAAGGCGGCUCUCUGGGACGGUACUGACACUGAGGGACGAAAGCUAGGGGGGAGCGAAUGGG